GCCUAGCCUUAACAAACAAUCAAACUACCAAUUGUUCGCCAAACAACUACGAGCCAUACUUAAAACUUAAAAGACUUGACGGUACUUCACCACACCCUAGAGGAGCCUGUCUAAUAACCGACAACCCACGAUUAACCCAACCCCUCCUUGCCCAACAGCCUAUAUACCGCCGUCGCCAGCCUACCUUGUAAAAGAAAUAAAGUAGACUAAACAGUAUUAUACUAAAACGACAGGUCGAGGUGUAACUUAUGGAGGGGACCAAGAUGGGCUACAUUCUCCAACUGAGCAUACGGACAACACUAUGAAACUAGUCUUUAAAGGCGGAUUUAGCAGUAAGAUAGGAAUAAAAUACCUAACUGAACAUAACGCAAUGAAGUGCGCACACACCGCCCGUCAUCCCUGCCACUAC
rnacentral:rRNA from 1 species